rnacentral:snRNA from 1 species
AGCCUGAGGGCGAUCUGGCUGCGACAUCUGAUAUCUGUCACCCCUUUGAUCGUCAGGGUUCAUUCGGCUGAUCUGGUCGACUAGCGGGGUGUCCCCUUCCUUUCUCACCGCUCCAUGUGUGUCCCUCCCGAAGCUGCAGGCUCAGUCAAAGAGGACGGUCUUCCCUGAAAAGAGACGGACAGGUCUUCGGUAGAGGGUAUAUGAGCAGCUGUGCUUCCCUGCUAGAACCUCCAAACAAGCUCUCAUUAUAUUAAUAAAGUAACAUUUAUGACUUUAUUAAGAACAUGUACUACUAGGCACUAGUGAAAAAUUUGAAAACAUAUUUCCAUGCUAUAUAAAUGCAAGAGGGACAUA